UGCAAGUAAAAUUUUAAUUGUAUUGUUUCAGCUAGGCAAACAGCACGUAAUUAUUUUUGCAUCAUUAAACUAGUACAUGUCUUCAUCUAACCGGUUCAGAGGAAAAAAAACACCAGAAGUGACAUUCUCAAGAAAAUAUUCCUAAAAAAGAAGCAGCAGUUAGAAAGAAGAACCCUUCAGACUGUACAUACCGUCCCAUUCUGCAGCUUCUUUGCAUCUGGCUUCUUCCGAACUGUAGUAAAGCUCCACUCAGGGUGAGAGUUAUUUUCUUUGUUACUGGA